GUCCCUGAAAUGCAAUGGAUAGCGAGCGCUUUGGACUUCUAAUACAAAUGUCGUGGAUUCGAAUCCCACCUGGGAUG